GUGGAAAUAGGACACGAUUUGUAAAGAAAACGCAAAAGUAAACAAACCGUAGGGAAGCCAUUGAAAAUGUGGUAAAAUCAUUCAAGCGUUGAGCAGUUGUUACAAAUUUUGAUCAACCCUCACCAUUUGGAAGAUUGAAGAGGAGAAGACGAAUCCCCAACGUGAAUCCCUAGGCCUGGAAAGAAAGAAAAUUCACUCGAUCGGAAUGCAGUUACUCUUUUAUUUUGCUUGUGAAAAAUGCUUUUGUUACAUAACAUAAAGUUGACACUGCAUGUAUCUGCCCUUGAAACGUGGUUUCUACUUUUAAGGUACACCCCUCGUUUAAAAGCAAUCUGACAAAUUACAAUUUUCCGGAACACACGAUAACAGGAAACUACAUUUGAUUAAGAGCACAACUAGGGGGUUAAAUGCAUUACACUUGUAUUUAUAGUUUUUAACCUAUGAAAUUGUUUUCCUUGGAGACCAGUCAUUAUUCAUCGCCCUGGGGGAGGGGAGGGGAGGUUUCGGAUUAUUUCUACGAACAAUAGACCUUAUUAGAAGGGAAGAGGGGAGGCCGGAGGGGACAGUGGAUGAAU